UACGAAGGGGGCUAGCGUUGCUCGGAAUCACUGGGCGUAAAGGGUGCGUAGGCGGGUCUUUAAGUCAGGGGUGAAAUCCUGGAGCUCAACUCCAGAACUGCCUUGAUACUGAAGAUCUUGAGUUCGGGAGAGGUGAGUGGAACUGCGAGUGUAGAGGUGAAAUUCGUAGAUAUUCGCAAGAACACCAGUGGCGAAGGCGGCUCACUGGCCCGAUACUGACGCUGAGGCACGAAAGCGUGGGGAGCAAACAGGGAUUAA
rnacentral:rRNA from 1 species